GAUGAAGAACGUAGCGAAAUGCGAUAAGUAAUGCGAAUUGCAGAAUUCAGUGAGUCAUCGAAUCUUUGAACGCACAUUGCGCCCUGUGGUAUUCCGCAGGGCAUGCCUGUUCGAGCGUCAUUUCAACCCUCAAGCUCUGCUUGGUGUUGGGCCCUGCCCGCUGCGGCCGGCCCUAAAGACAGUGGCGGUGCCGCCUGGCCCUGAGCGUAGUACAUCUCUCGCUCCAGCGCCCGGUGGUAGCCUGCCAGAACCCCAACUCUCGUGGUUGACCUCGGAUCAGGUAGGGAUACCCGCUGAACUUAAGCAUAUCAAUAAGCGGAGGA
rnacentral:misc_RNA from 1 species